CUCCCCGGUCUAUAAAUGCUGUCCUCUCCACCACUCCUUCCAAGUUCCAAGAGAGGAGAAGAUCAGGAUAGAAUCGAAGGAACCCUUGCCCAGUUGCUGCCCCUCCCCUCUCCUUUGUCCAUCAGCUGACUAGCUGAGUAGUUCACCACCACCAAGUCAGGCAAGAUGUACAACGCUCCAUCCGCGCAGGAGAUGUCCUACUUCGACCAUGUGCAGAGGCGCCAUGAGGAGAAGGGCUGCCUCUACGCAUGCAUCUUCACGGCGCUGUGCUGCUUCUGCUGCUACGAGACCUGCGAGUGCUGCCUCGACUGCCUCUGCUGCUGCUGCAACUAGGCCGCCGCCUGCUGCUUCAGAAGGCCUGAUGGAGAUGGAGAUGGCCUCUGUCUUUCUUACCUCAAAAUCAAGUAGCCUGCUUGGCUGCUUGCUUUAGCCUGGUUGUGAAGAGCAUAAUAAAGCAUGUUGCCCUGUAGUUAUUCUGUCAGUAUGAACAUUUGUGUGUUCUGAACAGGGUUCUGUUAGUACUGUAACCAAUGGUUUGAACUGCCGCAUCAUAUUGUCAGUAUCCGAUUCCGAUUCUGAACCCA